CGUUAACUCUGGCGGUAGGCCUAACACAUGCAAGUCGAACGGCAGCACAGUAAGAGCUUGCUCUUACGGGUGGCGAGUGGCGGACGGGUGAGGAAUACAUCGGAAUCUACUUUUUCGUGGGGGAUAACGUAGGGAAACUUACGCUAAUACCGCAUACGACCUACGGGUGAAAGCAGGGGAUCUUCGGACCUUGCGCGAUUGAAUGAGCCGAUGUCGGAUUAGCUAGUUGGCGGGGUAAAGGCCCACCAAGGCGACGAUCCGUAGCUGGUCUGAGAGGAUGAUCAGCCACACUGGAACUGAGACACGGUCCAGACUCCUACGGGAGGCAGCAGUGGGGAAUAUUGGACAAUGGGCGCAAGCCUGAUCCAGCCAUACCGCGUGGGUGAAGAAGGCCUUCGGGUUGUAAAGCCCUUUUGUUGGGAAAGAAAAGCAGCAGGUUAAUACCCCGCUGUUCUGACGGUACCCAAAGAAUAAGCACCGGCUAACUUCGUG
rnacentral:rRNA from 1 species